CAACUUUCAACAACGGAUCUCUUGGCUCUCGCAUCGAUGAAGAACGCAGCGAAAUGCGAUAACUAAUGUGAAUUGCAUAAUUCAGUGAAUCAUCGAGUCUUUGAACGCACCUUGCGCCCUUUGGUACUCCGAAGGGCAUGCCUGUUUGAGUGUCAGU
rnacentral:rRNA from 1 species